UACGUAGGUGGCAAGCGUUGUCCGGAAUUAUUGGGCGUAAAGCGCGCGCAGGUGGUUCUUUAAGUCUGAUGUGAAAGCCCACGGCUCAACCGUGGAGGGUCAUUGGAAACUGGGGAACUUGAGUGCAGAAGAGGAAAGUGGAAUUCCAAGUGUAGCGGUGAAAUGCGUAGAGAUUUGGGGGAACACCAGUGGCGAAGGCGACUUUCUGGUCUGUAACUGACACUGAGGCGCGAAAGCGUGGGGAGCAAACAGG
rnacentral:rRNA from 1 species